UACAGAGGGGGCAAGCGUUGUUCGGAAUUACUGGGCGUAAAGGGCGCGUAGGCGGCCUUCUAAGUCGAACGUGAAAUCCCAGGGCUCAACCCGGGAACUGCGUCCGAUACUGGAAGGCUUGAAUCCGGGAGAGGGAUGCGGAAUUCCAGGUGUAGCGGUGAAAUGCGUAGAUAUCUGGAGGAACGCCGGUGGCGAAAGCAGCCUCCUGGACCGGCAUUGACGCUGAGGCGCGAAAGCCAGGGGAGCAAACGGG
rnacentral:rRNA from 1 species